rnacentral:lncRNA from 12 species
UAUGAUUAGAAUACAGUGCAUUCCUUAAAGUUUAUUGUCAAUUGCUCAUUUUCUUUCCUCCUUUCAGAGGAUGCCAAGAUCAUUAAAGCCAGGACUGGGACCCACAUCAACAUCAUCUAUAAUCUAUUGGAUCAUGAUAUUCCACUGAGCUCAUCCAUCAGUACUUCUACCAAAUGGAACCCAUGUUAACCAGGCACCAUGCUGGGCACUGGAAAUAGAACAGUCAACAAGACAGGAACAGGACUUGUAAAGAACCCUUUAGCAUUGUGUGGAGGUUGAGAAGAGUUAAAGUAUAACACUUUGUAUCCUAAAUUUUUGUACUAUCUUCUUGAGCUGUAAAACUUUCAUGGUGACUCUAAUUAUAUCCUGACACAGACAUGAUUACAUAUCUUCUAUAUGCACACCAAUGGAUUCU